rnacentral:rRNA from 1 species
GCGCACCAGGCGAGAAACUCCGCAAUGCGCGAAAGCGUGACGGGGGAACCCCAAGUGCCGUUGGUCUAUUGAUCGACGGCUUUUCGGGAGUUUAGGGAGCUCCCGGAAUAAGGGCUGGGUAAGUCGGGUGCCAGCCGCCGCGGUAAUACCCGCAGCCCCAAAUGGUGGUCGCGAUUAUUGGGCCUAAAGCGCUCGUAGCCGGGUCGGCAAGUCCCUUGUGAAAUCGGGCGGCUUAACCGUUCGGCUUGCAAGGAAUACUGUUGGCCUUGAGGCCGGGAGACGCCGAGGGUACUCCGGGGGUAGCGGUGAAAUGUUCUAAUCCUCGGGGGACCACCAGUGGCGAAGGCGCUCGGCGAGAACGGACCUGACGGUGAGGGGCGGAGGCUAGGGGAGCGAACGGGGAUUAGAUACCCCCGUAGU